GAUGAACGCUGGCGGCGUGCCUAAUACAUGCAAGUCGAGCGAAUGGAUUAAGAGCUUGCUCUUAUGAAGUUAGCGGCGGACGGGGGAGUAACACGUGGGUAACCUGCCCAUAAGACUGGGAUAACUCCGGGAAGCCGGGGCUAAUACCGGAUAACAUUUUGAACCGCAAGGUUCGAAAUUGAAAGGCGGCUUCGGCUGUCACUUAUGGAUUGACCCGCGUCGCAUUAGCUAGUUGGUGAGGUAACGGCUCACCAAGGCAACGAGGCGUAGCCGACCUGAGAGGGUGAUCGGCCACACUGGGACUGAGACACGGCCCAGACUCCUACGGGAGGCAGCAGUAGGGAAUCUUCCGCAAUGGACGAAAGUCUGACGGAGCAACGCCGCGUGAGUGAUGAAGGCUUUCGGGUCGUAAAACUCUGUUGUUAGGGAAGAACAAGUGCUAGUUGAAUAAGCUGGCACCUUGACGGUACCUAACCAGAAAGCCACGGCUAACUACGUGCCAGCCCCCGCCGUAA
rnacentral:rRNA from 1 species